rnacentral:rRNA from 1 species
GACGAACGCUGGCGGCGUGCUUAACACAUGCAAGUCGAACGGAAAGGCCCUGCUUGCCGGGUGCUCGAGUGGCGAACGGGUGAGUAACACGUGGGUGAUCUGCCCCUUACUUUGGGAUAAGCCUGGGAAACUGGGUCUAAUACUGGAUAGGACCAUGCUGUAGGUGGUGUGGUGGAAAGAUUAGUUUCGGUAAGGGAUGAGCUCGCGGCCUAUCAGCUUGUUGGUGGGGUAAUGGCCUACCAAGGCGUCGACGGGUAGCCGGCCUGAGAGGGUGGACGGCAACAUUGGGACUGAGAUACGGGCCAGACUCCGACGGGAGGCAGCAGUGGGGAAUAGUGCACAAUGGGCGCAAGCCGGAUGCAGCGACGCCGCGUGGGGGAUGACGGCCUUCGGGUUGUAAACUCCUUUCGGCCAUGACGAAGCCCUUGUGGUGACGGUAGUGGUAGAAGAAGCACCGGCUAACUACGUG